CGGGCUGUAGCGCAGUCUGGUAGCGCACCUGCCUGGGGGGUAGGGGGUCGUGGGUUCGAAUCCCGCCAGCCCGACCA
rnacentral:tRNA from 1 species